AAAUAUUUUAAUUAACUUUAAUUUCACGCUGUCUUAAGUGGCUGUAGUCACGUUAUUUACCAAUAUUUUUAAAUGGUGACAAUAUUCCCCAGUCUAAAAAGUGGUGACGAUGUACCUGACUUGCUUGCCAUAGACAACAAGAAGUGGUGUUUCAUGCAUGGUGUGGAGUUGCUUGAGGAUGCAAAAUCAUUGGUAAUCCAACAACAUGCGUCAGUCAACAUCUAUGCAGUGACAUAGGCUAUUUGAUAUGGCAGAUUUUAUUUGGUUGAGGCUACUCUACUCUCCUUGACCCCUGGUCUCAACUUAGGUUUUACAGGAAGUCAGUCAAUGUCAUUGUGAUGUUAGCCCUCAUCUUAUCUUGUAAUUUAUGUGACAUCAACUCCAGCACUCUAAUUAUGUGUUUUGUCAUAGGUGCAAAAGGCUUGUCUAAGAUAAGCUGGCAGUCUACACCGCAUGGCCUGCGUUGCUGACAUUGAGUGAAGUUAAUGCAGAGUUCCUGUGCCUGACAGAUACUUGAGGAAGCAUCUUGGAGGUUCUCAAGGAGAAGGGAGGUGUUGCCAGAAGGAAGGACUAGAGUGGCGAAGUGAUCCAAAGGCAGACUGCACAUCUACGUGUAUGGUUUGCAAGGAACAUCCCGUGCCAGAGACUGUGAUACAAGGCAUGGAGCUGUACAGUGAACUCGGAGCAUCUCUUGUGCAUGUGUGAUGCUCUUUGGACUCGGUUACCGGUAUAUACCCUCAAUCUCAACUCUGUGGAUUUGGAUUUACAAUUUUAAGUAUCCAGAUGAACUGAAAUAUAUGUUCUGGUGAAUUUGGAAAAUAUGCCCAAAAGGUUCAAUCACUAUAAACUACAGUAAAUAUGUUGGACACUGGCAAUCUCAGGUUCUAAGACAUUGUAUAAAAGGACAAUCCAUCACAUUUCUAUGCAUACUUUUAUGUGCUGUUCUCUGAUCUGAGUUGAUGAUUUUUUUUGUCCUUAUCUUAGCUCAGCAUGGCAUUGAGUAUCAUUGAGGGGUUUUUUUUCUAAGCAUUUUCUAUGCAGAUUAAAAGAUGAGCACUAUAAUGAAAGGCGUAAUAAGGCCUCAGUAGCACUUCAUGGGCACAUUGAUAUCAUAAUUAAAAACAUUUCUCUCUCCCUCUCCUCCACCACUUUGGGAAAGAAUCAAAGAGCCAAAAGUGAUCCUGCGGGCAGUUGGUCAAUUCUAAAAUGUCCAUUCACAAAUAACAUCUUUUUCAUGAAUGUCUAAGUAAAUAAGUGAGUAAAUAGACACAUACUGUUCUGUUGAGAGUAUGUUUUUCGGCCAAAGAUAUCUGACUGCAUUCAAAAUGGUGGAUUAACAUGCAGAGGACCCCACUAUUAUUAAUUUGCCCAAGCGAUUAUGACAUUACUUAGAAUUUGCUGGUGGUUGUAAGCAUUCAUGAAAAAGAUGACAUUUCUGAACAGGCCACAUAAAUGAAUGUGGUACAGUACACUGAUAAUUUCAGGUUUUCUGUUUAAUUUCUGUUUAAUCAUACGAUUAUAUUGUCUAGAUUUUGGUGCUUUAUUAUCGUUUGACUGCAUGUUUGUCCAGCUGAUGAAAUAUUAAUAAAAGAAAUGUUUUGAAGUUCUUGUCAAGUAUAUUUUUCUCAUACACCUAAACAAGAUAUUAAUUCUACAUGAGAAAAUAAGUAUUCUAGCUAAGAAAAUCAGACUAGUUUUAAGACUUUAAAUGAGCUGGAAACAAGUAAAUUUGCCUUGUUUUAAGCGUAUUGUAUGCUUGUUUUGAGCAAUAAUUUCUUGGAUGACAUCUAAUUCUAAGCAAUAAUGACUAAUAAAGGAGACGAAAUU